GCCCCUGUAGUCUAGUUGGCCAAGGAUACCGGCCUUUCGAGCCGGUGACCCGGGUUCGAAUCCCGGCGGGGGCA
rnacentral:tRNA from 1 species